rnacentral:lncRNA from 1 species
UUUUAUUAAUUUGAGGGUGUUCUCUUUUCUUUUUAAUAAGGCUGGCUAAGGGUUUAUCUAUCUUAUUAAUUCUUUCAAAGAACCAACUCCUGGUUUUGUUGAUCUGUUCUAAAGUUCUUCUAGUCUCUAUUUCAUUGAGUUCUGCUCGAAUCUUUAUUAUCUAUCUUCUUCUGCUUGGUGUAGGCUUUGCUUCCUGUUCUUUCUCCAAUUCUUUAGGUGAGGUUAGCUUGUGUAUUUGAGGUUUUUUCCAAUUUUUUGAAGGAGGCUUGUAUUUUGAUGUACUUCCAUUUUAGUACUGCUUUUGCUGUAUCCCAAAGAUUUUGAACGGUUGUAUCUUCAUUUACAUUAGUUUCCAUGAAUCUUUUUAAUUCUUCUCUAAUUUCCUGGUUGACCCAUUCAUCUUUUAGUAGGAUGCUCUUUAAUCUUCAUGUGUUUGAGUUUCUUCCAAAUUUCUUCUUGUGAUUAAGUUGUAGUUUCAAAGCAUUGUGGUCUGAAAAUAUGCAGAGGACAAUCCCAAUAUUUUGGUAUCAAUUGAGACCUGGUUUGUGACCCAGUAUAUGCUCUAUUCUGGAGAAGUUCCAUGUGCACUUGAGAAGAACGUGUAUUCAGUUGCAUUUGGAUGGAAAGUUCUGUAUAAAUCUGUGAAAUCUAUUUGAUCCAGUGUAUCAUUUAAGGCCCUUGUUUCUUUGGUGAUGUUCUGCUUAGAAUAUCAGUUAUUUGCUGAAAGUGCCAUGUUGAAGUCUCCUACUAUUAGUGUAUUAUUAUCUAAGUAUCUCUUUACUUUGCUUAUUAAUUGAUUGAUAUACUUGGUAGCUUCCUCAUUAGGGGCAUAAAUAUUCAUGAUUGUUAGGUCUUCUUGUUGGAUAGACCCUUUAACUAUGAUAUAGUGUUCCUCUUCAUCUCUUACUACAGUCUUUGGUAUAAGCUUUCAUUUAUCUGAUAAGAGGACUGCUACCCCUGCUUUCUUUUGAGGACCAUUUGAAUGGUAAAUUGUUUCUACCCCUUCAUUUUCAGGCUGUAGGUGUCCUUAGGUCUAAAAUUAGUCUCUUGUAGACAGCAUAUAAAUGGGUCUUGCUUUUUUUAUCCAUUCCAAUAACCUGCAUCUUUUGAUGGGAUCAUUUAGCCCAUUCACGUUCAGAGUUACUAUUGAAAGAUAUGAAUUUAGUGUCACCAUAUUACCUAUUCAGUACCUGUUUUGUGGAUUGUUUCUUUGGGCUCCCUCUUCCUUUUACAGGGUCCCCCUUAAUAUUUCUUGGCAGAGCUGGUUUGGUGGUCACAUAUUCUUUCAGUUUCUGGAAGCUCUUUAUCUCUCCUUCUCUUCUGAAUGAGAGAUUUGCUGGAUAAAGUAUUCUUGGCUGCAUGUUCUUCUCAUUUAGUACCCUGAAUAUAUCCUGCCAGCCCUGUCUGGCCUGCCAGGUCUCUGUGGAGAGGUCUGCUGCUAAUCUGAUAUUUUUUACCCCAUAUAAGUUAAGAAUCUCUUGUCUCACACUGCUUUAAGAACUUUCUCUUUAGCUUUGAAAUUUGCAAGUUUCACUAUUAAAUGUUGAGGUGUUGUACGGUUUUUAUUGUUUUUUUGGGGGGGGACCUCUCUAUGUCCUGGAUCUGAAUGCCUGUGUCCUUCUCCAGAUUUGGCAAGUUCUCAGCUAUGAUUUGUUCAAACAUACUUUGUGGCCCUUUUCUCUCUCUCUCAGCCUCUUCUGGAAUCCCAAUUAGACAUAUAUGCUUCCUUCUCAAGCUAUCAUUUAUUUCCCUAAACCGUUCCUCAUGGGCUCUUAAUUUUCUCUUUUUUCCUCAGCUUCCUUCUUUACCAUCAACUUGUCUUCUAUGUCACUCACUCUCUCUUCCACCUCAUUAACCCUAGCAGUUAGAGCAUCCAGUUUGGACUGCAUCUCAUUUAAUCUAUUUUUAAUUUUGGCCUGAUUAGAUCUCAAUUCUGCAGUAACAAAGUCUCUAGGGUCCUUUAUGCUUUUUUCCAGAGCCACCAGUAGCUUUGUAAUUGUGCUUCUGACAUUGCAUUUAAAUCCAAAUUCUGUAACUCUGUGGCAGAGAGUAUUGUUUCCUGUUCUUUCAUUGCUAAUUCUUCCUUCUAGUCAUUUUGUCCAGGGCAGAGUGGCUGUAUGAGUGGGCUGAGUCAAAAACAUCAACCAUAAUCUAAGUACAAUACACUCUAGAUGAUUCUGAAGAGGUCAAAGACUGGAAAAUAAAAGAAAAAGAACAGAACAAAAUAAAACAAAAGGACCAUUAAAGUGAAAAACAAAAUUUAAAACAAAGUAGUAGGGCACCCCGGGUGGCUCAGCGGUUUAGAGCCACCUUUGGCCCAGGGCAUAAUCCUAGAGAACUGGGAUUGAGUCCCACAUCAGGCUUCCUGCGUGGAGCCUGCUUCUCCCUCUGCCUGUG